rnacentral:rRNA from 1 species
UGGGGAAUUUUGGACAAUGGGGGAAACCCUGAUCCAGCCAUCCCGCGUGUGCGAUGAAGGCCUUCGGGUUGUAAAGCACUUUUGGCGGGAAGGAAAGUCAUUGGUUAAUACCCCGGUAAACCUGAGGGUACCUGCAAAAUAAGCACCGGCUAACUACGUGCCAGCAGCCGCGGUAAUACGUAGGGUGCAAGCGUUAAUCGGAAUUACUGGGCGUAAAGCGUGCGCAGGCGGUUCGGAAAGAAAGAUGUGAAAUCCCAGAGCUCAACUUUGGAACUGCAUUUUUAACUACCGGGCUAGAGUGUGUCAGAGGGAGGUGGAAUUCCGCGUGUAGCAGUGAAAUGCGUAGAUAUGCGGAGGAACACCGAUGGCGAAGGCAGCCUCCUGGGAUAACACUGACGCUCAUGCACGAAAGCGUGGGGAGCAAACAGG